AUGCUGCUAGCCGCGACGGCCUGCUGCUUCCUCGCCGACGAGGCCAAGAAGAGCCAGGACGGCGGCGGCGGGGGCGGGGGAGGGGGAGGGGGAGGAGGAGGGCUGGGGAUUAGCCCGGUGGUCCUGGUCGUGGUGCUGGUGCUGGCGGCGCUCGUGUUCGUCUCCGGCCUGCUGCACCUGCUGGUCCGGUUCCUGCGGUGGCGCGCCCGCGCGCGCACCGGGGCGACGGAGGAUGGGGGCAGCGAGGUGGACGGAGGAGGCGGAGGCCGGGGGGCUGGGGAGGAGUCGGCGCUGCAGCGGCAGCUGCAGCAGCUGUUCCACCUGCACGACUCCGGGCUGGACCAGGCCGUCAUCGACGCGCUGCCGGUGUUCCUCUACGGGGAGGUGGUGGUCGGCGCGGGCGCCAAGGAGCCGUUCGACUGCGCGGUGUGCCUGUGCGAGUUCGCCGGCGACGACCGGCUGCGGCUGCUGCCGCUGUGCGGCCACGCGUUCCACAUCGACUGCAUCGACACCUGGCUGCUCUCCAACUCCACCUGCCCGCUCUGCCGCCGCGUGCUCGCGGCCGACGACGGCGGCGGCGACGCGGCCCUCCUGCUCGACGAGGGGUGGGGGCGGGAGGGGGAGGGCGCGGUGUUCCCCGUCCGCCUCGGCAAGUUCAAGAGCACGGCCAGGGCGGCCGGCCACGUCCAGCACGACGGCGGCGGCAUUGUGGCGGCGGAGGAGGGCGACGCGGGCAGCAGCAGCAGCAGCCUGGACGCCAGGCGGUGCUACUCCAUGGGCUCCUACCAGUACGUGCUCGCCGAGGCCAGCCUGCAGGUGUCCGUCCACCGGCGGCACGGCGACGGCGGCGCCGCGGAGAGGAUGAGGGGCCCGAGAGGGGUCGUCGCGAACCCGGCCGGCCUUGGCGGCGGGGGCGGCGGCGAGGGGAAGAGGAUCGGGGCCGGCAGCAAGGGCGACAGCUUCUCGGUGUCCAAGAUCUGGCAGUGGCCGCGCAACGGCAAGGGGAAGCUCCCCGUGCUCGCGUCCGACGGCUCGCCGGCGGUGGACGGCGCGCUGCAGUGGCCGAGGAGGAGCGUCGGGGAGUCGUGA
rnacentral:rRNA from 1 species